ensembl:lincRNA 1700025M24Rik RIKEN cDNA 1700025M24 gene
AGCCUUCUCUUCUGAGAUGUUCUCCAAGCCUUAGGCAUUAUCCACUGGGGCUGGGUACCCCACAGAAAAAGAACUGUGGAUAACAGCCCAAGAUGGUAUUUUGAAGUGAGUAGACACCUGGAGAAUACAGUCUUCCUGCUACCGGGAUGAUGGAUAAACAUCUUCAAUCAAGACAUCCUGAGGAUCCUAUGGGUUUAGAUGAAGGAGACUCUCUGGUUGUGUUUGUUUGGAAGGCGACCGUGGUAAGCAUGGAGCUAGAUGUCAACUGACGAGACGCUUCUGAGAGGGACUCAAAACUGCCGACCUUGGGAAUUUGCUUGAGAGGAGAGAAAUUCUUGGCCACAGAGAGAGUGCUGAGAAGACAGGGGAGUGAAAAGAAUGUGUCAACAGAGUGAGCCAAGCCUGGGGGACAUGGCAGAGCACCACAAGAAACCAUUGCUCGGCAAAGGACUCCUCAGAUGAGAGCAUACAAAAUAUGAUCAUCCCUCAUCACCAGGGGUAGCCCUAGGAUCCUUGCCCAGGGUACCACAAUCUUAGAGUGCUCAAGUCCCUUAUAUAAACAGCAAAAUGAAUUAGG